CAUCUACUUAGAAAUAUACUCCAAGAAGUCCCGUGCCAGAUUCUUCCACAUUCUCAAACGGAAGAGUAUACGGAGCCAACACUCCCAGAGCCAGACGUCAACAUUUUUUUACCGUCAUUAAAAAUUUUGAAAAAUCUCGUUGAUCGAAUGAAAGUUUUGAGUAACAAUAUUAUUAUAAAAGCGAAUUAUAAUGGAGAGCUACAAUUAAUAAUUGACUCUGAUAACGUUUCAGUAAAGUCCGUCGUUAAAGAUUUGGAAAACCCAAAGUUUGUUGAAGGCUUCGUUCCCACUAAAACAAGAAAUGAAACUGCUUUUAGUGAAAUUAGAAUAG